GCCACAACAGGCCAACUCAGCCCAGCCUAGCCUAUGGCUGAAGUGGGUGACUCUGUAGCUGCUGGUAAACAAAGGAGUUACUUACUUUUAGUACAGUGAAGAUUUCUACAGGCAAUGGUCUGAUUGGGCCCAAAGCCACACCACCAAGCUGUGAUCCUGGCAAAACCCACAAGGUACCUCUUCUCUUGAUACUGAACCAGCACAUGAAAGGAAAACAGCCCUGUGAACCACCAUGGCCCACUGGUUUUCAAAGAACUCGGAAAAUAAACUAGUGUCUAC